rnacentral:rRNA from 1 species
GAUGAACGCUGGCGGCGUGCUUAACACAUGCAAGUCAAACGGGAAACUUUUCAUUGAAGCUUCGGCAGAUUUGGUCUGUUUCUAGUGGCGGACGGGUGAGUAACGCGUGGGUAACCUGCCUUAUACAGGGGGAUAACAACCAGAAAUGGUUGCUAAUACCGCAUAAGCGCACAGGACCGCAUGGUCCGGGGUGAAAAACUCCGGUAGUAUAAGAUGGACCCGCGUUGGAUUAGCUAGUUGGCAGGGUAACGGCCUACCAAGGCGACGAUCCAUAGCCGGCCUGAGAGGGUGAACGGCCACAUUGGGACUGAGACACGGCCCAGACUCCUACGGGAGGCAGCAGUGGGGAAUAUUGCACAAUGGGGGAAACCCUGAUGCAGCGACGCCGCGUGAAGGAAGAAGUAUCUCGGUAUGUAAACUUCUAUCAGCAGGGAAGAUAGUGACGGUACCUGACUAAGAAGCCCCGGCUAACUACGUGCCAGCCGCCGCGGUAA